UGCUUGCUUGCCUGUUUCCACUGCU
rnacentral:piRNA from 1 species